rfam:Cavia porcellus supercont2_7 genomic scaffold, whole genome shotgun sequence.
AUUGUUUCUUGGCCUUUUGGCUGAGAUCAAGGGUAAUAUCAGUUCUUACCAGUUUAAAAUGCUGAAAUUUUAAAGACAGUCUAUCAAAGCCACUGUAAUACUGAACUAUA